rnacentral:tRNA from 1 species
GCCGGUGUAGCUCAGCUGGCAGAGCGGCGCUCUUGUAAAGCGAAGGUCGGGGGUUCGAUUCCCUCCACCGGCACCA